UCGGCCGGGCCCGGCGCCGCCCGCGAGCUCCGCGGCCUCUCGCUCCCCGUGAGGCCGAUCCCUUACGAGCUUUAAAUUAUUCAGUCGGGACGCUGUCGUGUGAGACGCCGGCUCCCGCCGGCUCCAACAAAAGCCAUCCUUAAUGUUUUAUACGGGGGUACAGGAGAUAGGCGGUUUGACACAAACGCGGUCCCGGGGGGGAAGGUGGCGGUGGCUGGGGCCCUGUUUUCUUCCCCAGUGACUCGUGGAAGCAGGCAGUAGUCCAAAACUGAGGCUGGCAUCUGGACUGCUGUACUGCUGUAAUUGGACAUCACUGGAGUGAUUAGCUGGUGUUUCCAAAUGCGGCUUUAGAUCUUGAGUGGACAAGCAGAAGUACUACAUAUAUGGGCGAACAGCACCAUCUAGCGGGUCUUGCCACCACGGUGUCUUGUGCUGGGGGCAUUUGCUCUUCUCUUCCCGCGGAGCCGCAUCAUGGACCCACACCUGCUCUUGCUGGUUGAAGAACAAACUCUACAGCGAGAUGGGAUGUUAGGAAACAUCUGGAGACCUGUGAGUAUUAUAGAAUCAUCCCACAGAAGGAACCCCUGAGGCUCAGAUCAGGAUGCAGCUCACUUAUCUAAGAGAGGAAUGCCCUGUAUGUUAAAACAAGCUGGCCAGUGGCCCACUCCUGCCUUAAUGUUGUUACUCUUUGUUUUUAUUCUUCUUCUCAAGGUCCACAAAUGUAUCACAAAAGACAUGUGGCAGUGAAAUAUUAGGAUUUUUCUCAGUGGUUAUCUGAGUGACCGUUUAACACAAUGUGUAACACAACAUGGUGACAAGAGCCUUUUACUUGCAACAAGAAACUAAGGAGCUACAAGGAAUAUCUACACUCACAUGAAAAUUUCUACAUUUGUACAGGCCCUUAAAACACAUAUUUCACACAGUAAUUUAUAUUACUAGUUUGCCUAUGACUCUUGCAGUUCUAGUUCACUAUUGUUUUAUUAAAGGUGCAGUGAAGGUCAACUGCCACUAACUAUACUGUUAAAUAUUGAUUUAACAAUUUGAAUUAAUGUAAUUUUCUGUUGUUCUCCCUACUAAAUGUACAGCAGCACUUCAGUGACCCAGUCAAUAAGAUCAAUAAUGCUCACGUGAAGUUCAGGCUAUGGCUGUUGCUGGUUUGUUCUCCUUUUCUCCUUGCUGUCUUUUCACAGGGUCAGACAGGUUUUAGUAAAUGCAAAAUCUAUGUUACUGCUAAUAGGCUGUGGGACUUCUCUAGCUGGAUACAUUCUGUGCACGCGAGUUACUCUGAAGCAGAAUAUUUCAUGCCUUAUACUGAUUUGGUUUUUUUUGUACUACUAUUUCUCCUUUAACAAGAAUAAAAAACAACAAACUAUAAAGACAUUAGACAUUUUUUGUACUUUCUUCUAAGGUUUUCUGCAAGCCCUUGUUAAAGACCAUUUAUACAAGUAAAAGUACAUAUUUGGUAAUUUUUAAACAGCAAAUCAUUACUCAAUAGCCCUUGCUAAUCCUGCUGUCAGAGCUAAAAUACCAAUAUCUAAAGAGAUAAAUGUGACUAAGUUAAGCAUGUGUUUAAACAUUUGGUUAAAUGGUUCAGAAUUGGUGUACUUGCAACAUGGAAAGCAAUGCCUUAGUGAGAGUGAAAAUAUCUAGGCAGUUAAAUGUUAAGCACUUGGACAAGAUAACACUUAAAAUAAAAUGUGCCUUGGUGUUGCACAGAAAAGUAUGUGUGGUUGUUCCUGUUCUAUGGACAGAACAAAGCUGUCACAAGUGGAAAGUCACAACUGGUAUUCAGAUGGCAAAAUGAAUGGUAAGUUUAGAACUGAGCAUGUAUGCCCUGAGUCAGUUUCUCUUUGAAUAUUUUUCAUGAAAUGUCUGUGCCCUUAUUUUCUUGAUGUCUGCCUCUUUUAAGCAGGAAUAUACAUGUGUGCAUAGUGGAUGGAAAGUAUCUGUGAAAAAGAAAGAAACAUGAGAGCUAAUGUCCUUUGACUAAUUUUGAGAAUAGAAGAGGAUAUGUAUUAAAUAUGAAACUAUUAUAUAUGUGCUUCCAUUUAACAGAAGAAUGUCAGUAGCUUCAAUAAUCAGAAAAAGGAAAGGAAGUCUUAGCAAAAGAACCAUGCCUCUGCUUUCCUUUCUUAAUUCACAGUGAGGUUUAGAUUGACAUUUUGAUGAUCUUGUGCAGCCAGAUUUUUCUUUACAUUCUUUCCCACAUACAGUGUUGUUCUUCACACGUGUUCACUCACAUCUAAAGGAGGUGUUACAGGAUGCCCUGCUUCUCCUUGAGGCAUCAGAGGCUGGGUAUGAUAAAGAUACAUUACAGAAAAGCCAGCAGGAUUCAUGCAGCUACUGAAGAAAUUUGCUUUACAUGUACAAGAAAAGCAAUACACUCCCUGAACCCUGCACUAUACAGCUUCAAGAACCUUAUUAGAGAACAAGAGUUUAACCUGGGAAGGUGCUAAAUUAACCCAGACAGGCAUGAUAAACAGAAUUAAGUUUUUUGUUCUGGCUCCAGAUAACAGAAUGAAGUGUAUGGAUCAAAGGUGAAAGCUGUGUGUCUUUCUGGACUGGCUGACCAUCACUAAGGAUAUAUUUUGAGAAUUUGACUGUUCAUGGCUUUCCUUAUAUAUUUCCAUGUGAUUCUACUUUCUGAAAACAGAUGACAUGAAAUAAGAUGGAUAGGAAAAAUAGGAGAUGAGUGCAAAGAGUAAAGGUGUAUCUAUGAACUUGAUAAAGCUAAAGGAUGAUAACUUUAUAUGCUAGCGAAUGGUGUCAGGAAUUUACAAAUGUCGUCUGUAAAUAUCAAACUCUGAAGCUAUUUUUCCCUCAGAAUGAAGACUAGUGUCUGUGUUAAUAAAGGGAAGUUGCCUUUGUUCUUUCUGUCCAUUCUCUCUGUCCAUUUUGUUACCUUUCAAAAAACCCUUUUAGCUAUAUGGAAUAUAAAAGAUUUAAAAUGCC